rnacentral:rRNA from 1 species
AUUGAACGCUGGCGGCAUGCCUUACACAUGCAAGUCGAACGGCAGCAUGGGAGCAAUCCUGGUGGCGAGUGGCGAACGGGUGAGUAAUAUAUCGGAACGUGCCCAACCGUGGGGGAUAACGUAGCGAAAGCUACGCUAAUACCGCAUACGAUCUACGGAUGAAAGCGGGGGAUCGCAAGACCUCGCGCGAUUGGAGCGGCCGAUAUCAGGUUAGCUAGUUGGUGAGGUAAAGGCUCACCAAGGCGACGAUCUGUAGCUGGUCUGAGAGGACGACCAGCCACACUGGAACUGAGACACGGUCCAGACUCCUACGGGAGGCAGCAGUGGGGAAUUUUGGACAAUGGGCGCAAGCCUGAUCCAGCAAUGCCGCGUGCAGGACGAAGGCCUUCGGGUUGUAAACUGCUUUUGUACGGAGCGAAACGGUCUUCUCUAAUACAGGGGGCUAAUGACGGUACCGUAAGAAUAAGCACCGGCUAACUACGUGCCAGCCGCCGCGGUAA